UGUUUGAAGAGGUUUAAAUUGAAGACAAGACUUCUAAAACAUCUGAAAUGUAGUUUGACUACAUUUCCAAAUCAUGAAGUUGAAAGAGGCCUCAAGCAGGCAUUGUUUGUGAAGCAAGAGAAUGAUUCAGUUCGUGAGAGGACGGAGGACGAGAGGAGGAGGAGCAUCGCCACACGUAAGUCAUCAUCAUACAUGUCAGUAUUUCAUUAGACCACUCUCAUUAUCUCUAUACAAAGUUCUUUUCAUCAUGAAAUAAAAUUGAUAUUUUUCAUGUCAUAAAAAUAAACAUUACCAGUAGAACUUACAGGUAUUAAGAUUUAUGAUUAUGUCACUUGUUUUAAAGCUUCCAUUAUAAUCUAUAUCAGGACUGUCAAAUGUUUUUUUUUUCAUUAUUUAGUAUGUAUUGUAAACUUAUAUAGACCUUUGGCACUCAGUACAGAUAUGUGUCAAUCAAAUGUGUAUCCCAUGAGCACAAGGACUUGUGUCAAACAUCAUUGUGUAUGAGAGGUUUGAUUGGAUGAGAGUGUCGUACAGACUUCACAUCCUAUUACCUGCACAGAUCAUUCCUGUACCCUGGUUCCACUCCAUUCUGCAUCAUGCCAUCGGACAGUAGGGACGACCAGUUUUGUAAAUAUAAAUGUAACUGUGGUUGCAUUAUCAUUGUCGUGUAAAUAUAUUGUGUAACAGGGUCUAAUUUCAUUAGAUUUUAUCAUUUUUAGCCCACCAUCAUCAGAUGGUGGGCUAUUCAAAUCGCCCUGCGUCCGUG